rnacentral:SRP_RNA from 1 species
GAUGGGCAUGUUGGCACAUGCCUAUAGUCCCAGCUACUCGGGAGACUGAAGCUGGAGGAUUGCUUGAGUCCAGGAAGGAGUUCUGGGCUGUAGUGCGCUAUGCCGAUCAGGUGUCCAGCACGAAGUUAGGCAUUAAUAUGGCGACCUCCUGGGAGCGGGGGACCAGGUUGCCUAAGGAGGGGUGAAUCAACCCAGGUCGGAAACAGAGCAAGUCAGAACUCCUGUGCUGAUUAGUAGUGUGAUCGUGCCUGUGAAUAGCCACUGCACUCCAGCCUGGGCAACAUAGCAAGACCCUGUCUCU